rnacentral:lncRNA from 1 species
CCAGUCUCUUACGGCCUGGCUACAUCUAUAUCAGCUGAAGUUUUACAUUUAUUAUUCUAGUAAACCCAAUACAACAAAUGCACAAACUAAUGAAUAUCUAGCUAUGCCUUCUUUCAUUUAUACGGGAGUGGUUAGUAUGAAGAUAACUUUGAUCAAUUGACCAAUACAAUGUCGACACGUAAACCGAGAGAUGAUCUCACUCUGCGUAUUAAUUGACCAACUUGCCAUGAAAUUUCAUGGUAACCGGAUCCCAUUUCUACUAUAUAUUUCUUUCAGCAAUUGUAUUAAUUCUUUUACGUGAUCAAAGAGACUGAGAAAAGAUCAAUCAUUUGAAUGAUAGAACUAGUUUUCUUUCUGAAACUGUCACUAAUUAGAGCUGAUCUGGGCACGAUGUCGUUGUGCUCAUCCAUAUUUAUAUGGUUAAUAAUGUUGUACUCCCUUCGUUACUUAAUAUAAAUUGUUUUAGAAGAAUAUUUUUGUUCCUUAAUAUAAGUCGUUUGGG